CUAACAACACACAACAUUCCAGGAAUGUACUACCAAAGUUCUAUCAAUAUUUGAAUGUCCUGGACAUUUAGGGAACAUUCGGUGAACAUCUGUUUAAAUUAUUCCUGGAAUGUUACCAUAAGACAUUCUGUGAACAUACUACCAAUGUUCCUAUAUUUUAAGUUGCGAAAUAAUACAUACGUGUAAGAGAUACAACAUUACUUAUAACAUACCAGACAAACUAAGUGACAUUUUAGGCCUACAGUGCAAUAAUAUGUCAAAUUUAAAGAGUUUCCCAAGAUUAUAAACAUACAAAUGUAAUAAAAAUUAUUGUUCGCGAAUAUUCAAUUUGGAAUGCGAUUUUGUUAAUAAAAAAAAUACUUAUAACUUAUGCAAAACCCAAGAGAGGCAUUUAUAUUUAUUUCUUUUGCGUUCAUUUUCAAAUUCGCCGUGCAUAUAUUUUUGUGCAUGGCGCUUGAGAGGGCAUCACGUGACUAAAAACGACCAACCAACGACCUCGCUUCGGCCAUCUUGGCAUCUUCAUCUUGGCGACCUUGCCUUGCCGUGGAUUGUUUUUAGUUGUAUGUAUUAUUUGUGCUUUUUAAGAAUAUUUUUUUAAUUCGGAUACUUUUAUAAUAGCUUUAAUAGUAUUAUUAACAUAGUGCAUAAAAUGGUGUCCUGUUUUUAACGCAGUUGGAGUAGCAGAAACAAAUGUAGAUAAAAAAAUCUGCAGGAAUAACGUUUCAAUUAUGACAGAAGCUCAAAACAAAUGACUGUGAAUGAAAAGCCCUAUUAAAAGCUUUCCAGAAGAUCCUGCGAAGAAGACAUGAAGUAUAGAUCAGAUUUGUUAAUAGAGGAGUAUGUUCAAAACACUUUUUAGAAAAAGAUAUUGACAGAACUUCACUUUCAUCUGUUCGUUUGAGAGACUGUGCUGUUCCAAUAGCUUAUGUCACACAGAAUCAGCUGAGUGAAGUGGUCUACAAAAAACCAGAAAGGAAACGGAAUAUGUGGCUACGAAAAGCAAAAGAAAGGUUUACAAAGCAAAUGUGACACAUUUUUUUAUAAUAUUUAGGAAUGUCAGCAAAUUACAUUAAAAAAUGUAUGUAAAGAUUUUUUGCAAUAAAAAUGUUUAUAUUUA